AGAGUUUGAUCAUGGCUCAGAUUGAACGCUGGCGGCAGGCCUAACACAUGCAAGUCGAGCGGUAGCACAGAGAGCUUGCUCUCGGGUGACGAGCGGCGGACGGGUGAGUAAUGUCUGGGAAACUGCCUGAUGGAGGGGGAUAACUACUGGAAACGGUAGCUAAUACCGCAUAACGUCGCAAGACCAAAGUGGGGGACCUUCGGGCCUCAUGCCAUCAGAUGUGCCCAGAUGGGAUUAGCUGGUAGGUGGGGUAACGGCUCACCUAGGCGACGAUCCCUAGCUGGUCUGAGAGGAUGACCAGCCACACUGGAACUGAGACACGGUCCAGACUCCUACGGGAGGCAGCAGUGGGGAAUAUUGCACAAUGGGCGCAAGCCUGAUGCAGCCAUGCCGCGUGUGUGAAGAAGGCCUUCGGGUUGUAAAGCACUUUCAGCGGGGAGGAAGGCGGUGAGGUUAAUAACCUCAUCGAUUGACGUUACCCGCAGAAGAAGCACCGGCUAACUCCGUGCCAGCAGCCGCGGUAAUACGGAGGGUGCAAGCGUUAAUCGGAAUUACUGGGCGUAAAGCGCACGCAGGCGGUCUGUCAAGUCGGAUGUGAAAUCCCCGGGCUCAACCUGGGAACUGCAUUCGAAACUGGCAGGCUAGAGUCUUGUAGAGGGGGGUAGAAUUCCAGGUGUAGCGGUGAAAUGCGUAGAGAUCUGGAGGAAUACCGGUGGCGAAGGCGGCCCCCUGGACAAAGACUGACGCUCAGGUGCGAAAGCGUGGGGAGCAAACAGGAUUAGAUACCCUGGUAGUCCACGCUGUAAACGAUGUCGAUUUGGAGGUUGUGCCCUUGAGGCGUGGCUUCCGGAGCUAACGCGUUAAAUCGACCGCCUGGGGAGUACGGCCGCAAGGUUAAAACUCAAAUGAAUUGACGGGGGCCCGCACAAGCGGUGGAGCAUGUGGUUUAAUUCGAUGCAACGCGAAGAACCUUACCUGGUCUUGACAUCCACAGAACUUUCCAGAGAUGGAUUGGUGCCUUCGGGAACUGUGAGACAGGUGCUGCAUGGCUGUCGUCAGCUCGUGUUGUGAAAUGUUGGGUUAAGUCCCGCAACGAGCGCAACCCUUAUCCUUUGUUGCCAGCGGUUAGGCCGGGAACUCAAAGGAGACUGCCAGUGAUAAACUGGAGGAAGGUGGGGAUGACGUCAAGUCAUCAUGGCCCUUACGACCAGGGCUACACACGUGCUACAAUGGCAUAUACAAAGAGAAGCGACCUCGCGAGAGCAAGCGGACCUCAUAAAGUAUGUCGUAGUCCGGAUUGGAGUCUGCAACUCGACUCCAUGAAGUCGGAAUCGCUAGUAAUCGUAGAUCAGAAUGCUACGGUGAAUACGUUCCCGGGCCUUGUACACACCGCCCGUCACACCAUGGGAGUGGGUUGCAAAAGAAGUAGGUAGCUUAACCUUCGGGAGGGCGCUUACCACUUUGUGAUUCAUGACUGGGGUGAAGUCGUAACAAGGUAACCGUAGGGGAACCUGCGGUUGGAUCACCUCCUU
rnacentral:rRNA from 1 species